AAAGUGGACCUGAGCCAAGGAUGACUUGCCGCGCAUAUAUAAAAUUCUUUCUGUCGCCAGCAAUCAUCGAUAGCCUGAAAAGGGUUUUCCGUGGCAAGACAUUCUUGGCUCUACUUCACUCUGU
rnacentral:pre_miRNA from 9 species